rnacentral:rRNA from 1 species
GCAGUCGAGCGGAUGACGGGAGCUUGCUCCUUGAUUCAGCGGCGGACGGGUGAGUAAUGCCUAGGAAUCUGCCUGGUAGUGGGGGACAACGUUUCGAAAGGAACGCUAAUACCGCAUACGUCCUACGGGAGAAAGCAGGGGACCUUCGGGCCUUGCGCUAUCAGAUGAGCCUAGGUCGGAUUAGCUAGUUGGUGGGGUAAUGGCUCACCAAGGCGACGAUCCGUAACUGGUCUGAGAGGAUGAUCAGUCACACUGGAACUGAGACACGGUCCAGACUCCUACGGGAGGCAGCAGUGGGGAAUAUUGGACAAUGGGCGAAAGCCUGAUCCAGCCAUGCCGCGUGUGUGAAGAAGGUCUUCGGAUUGUAAAGCACUUUAAGUUGGGAGGAAGGGCAGUAAGCUAAUACCUUGCUGUUUUGACGUUACCGACAGAAUAAGCACCGGCUAACUCUGUGCCAGCAGCCGCGGUAAUACAGAGGGUGCAAGCGUUAAUCGGAAUUACUGGGCGUAAAGCGCGCGUAGGUGGUUUGUUAAGUUGGAUGUGAAAGCCCCGGGCUCAACCUGGGAACUGCAUCCAAAACUGGCAAGCUAGAGUACGGUAGAGGGUGGUGGAAUUUCCUGUGUAGCGGUGAAAUGCGUAGAUAUAGGAAGGAACACCAGUGGCGAAGGCGACCACCUGGACUGAUACUGACACUGAGGUGCGAAAGCGUGGGGAGCAAACAGGAUUACAUACCCUGGNAGUCCACGCCGUAAACGAUGUCAACUACCCGUUGGA